rnacentral:rRNA from 1 species
AGCAGCCGCGGUAAUUCCAGCUCCAAUAGCGUAUAUUAAAGUUGUUGCAGUUAAAAAGCUCGUAGUGAAUUUCGGGAUCAAUACGUCGGUCGUGCUUCGGUACGUACUGGCGUAAUUGAUUUUCUCCCCUUCUGACGAACCAUGAUGUCAUUAACUUGGUGUCAUGGGAAAUCAGGACUGUUACUUUGAAAAAAUUAGAGUGUUUAAAAGCAAGCUAACGCUUGAAUACAUUAGCAUGGAAUAAUGAAAUAGGACGUUCGAUCCUAUUUUUGUUGGUUUCUAGGAUUGACGUAAUGAUUAAUAGGGAUAGUUGGGGGCAUUAGUAUUCAAUUGUCAGAGGUGAAAUUCUUGGAUUUAUUGAAGACUAACUACUGCGAAAGCAUUUGCCAAGGAUGUUUUCAUUAAUCAAGAACGAAAGUUAGGGGAUCGAAGACGAUCAGAUACCGUCGUAGUCUUAACCAUAAACUAUGCCGACUAGGGAUCGGAUGAUGUUAAUUUUUA